CCUGCCCACUGAAUAAUUUAAAUGGCCGCAGUAAUUUGACUGUGCAAAGGUAGCAUAAUCAUUAGUUUUUUAAUUAAAAGCUUGUAUGAAGGGUUGGACGAGAUAAAAUCUGUCUUUAUUUAAUUAAAAUUAGAAUUUAAUUUUUAAGUUAAAAAGCUUAAAUGUUAAUAAAAGACGAGAAGACCCUAUAAAUCUUUAUAUUAUAAUAUUUAAUUUUAUUUAGGUUUAUUUAUUUAUUUUUAAAUUUUAUAUUAUUUUAUUGGGGUAAUAAAUAGAUUAAAAUAAUUCUUUUUUUUAUUUACAUUGAUUUAUGAUUUUUUGAUCCAAUAUUUUUGAUUAUAAGAUUAAGUUACUUUAGGGAUAACAGCGUAAUUUUUUUAUAGAGUUCUUAUCGAUAAAAAAGUUUGCGACCUCGAUGUUGGAUUAAAAAUUGUUCUAGGUGUAGUAGUUUAGAAAUUUGGUCUGUUCGACCAUUAAAUUUUU
rnacentral:rRNA from 1 species